GAUGAACGCUGGCGGCGUGCCUAAUACAUGCAAGUCGAACGAAGAUCUAGCUUGCCAGAUCUUAGUGGCGAACGGGUGAGUAAUACAUAAAUAAUCUGCCCAUAUGACUGGGAUAACUAUUGGAAACGAUAGCUAAUACCGGAUAGGUUGAUCGGAGGCAUCUCUGAUGAAUUAAAGUAGGAUUUCUACACAAAUGGAUGAGUUUAUGGCGCAUUAGUUAGUUGGUGGGGUAACGGCCUACCAAGACGAUGAUGCGUAGCCGACCUGAGAGGGUGACCGGCCACACUGGGACUGAGACACGGCCCAGACUCCUACGGGAGGCAGCAGUAGGGAAUUUUCGGCAAUGGGCGCAAGCCUGACCGAGCAACGCCGCGUGAGUGAUUAAGGCCUUCGGGUUGUAAAGCUCUGUUGUAAGGGAAGAACAUUCAGGAUAGGAAAUGAUCUUGAACUGACGGUACCUUACCAGAAAGCCACGGCUAACUACGUGCCAGCCGCCGCGGUAA
rnacentral:rRNA from 1 species